UGGGGUCUGUACAGCCCUGCCGGAGGACAGGGCUGGAGGCGGGACUGGAGGCGGAACAGCCGCGCCGGAGGAGCUGCUGGCGUCUGCUCCUUUCGCCGCUGUGGUUCCCGGGAGAGCCCUGCAGAACGAGUGUUUCUCUGGAAGCAUAAACCGUAUGUGAGGCUUCCCAGGGAUCCCCAGGGCUGUGAGGCACCUUGCUACCACCCACCUUUACCGUGAGGAAGCCCUGUCUGUGACCGCAAGGGGUCUGCUCCACAACUCCAUUGGCUACAGGAGCUGAGGGCGUUCAGUGCCUUGCAGGAGUUUCUAAGCACCUGGCGGGAUCAUGCCCACCAUUUGGACUGGCAGAGUGAAAGCCUAUGGAAUAUCAAAUUAAGCUGGGAGAUGAGAGAAGCUGCUAUUGGAAGUAACAAGAAACCACAAGAGGGAGCCAAAUGAAAAUGUUCUACAUCCAAAAAUAAAAAGGCAAAGGAUGUUCAGCACCAAAAGCCAGAGGAGAGCGCCCAGUGU